rnacentral:lncRNA from 1 species
UCAACUUUUGGGAGGCCAUUAUUUAAUAUUGUCGAACAUUGACGAACAGAAGACAUCCGACAUCAGGGGACAAAUACGGAGGGAAUUCGACGGCAGCUUUGGAGACAGGAGGAUCAGACGCAAACAGGGCAACAACGAACAUCAGCCGCACGGACGGAGAAGAUAUUUGGAGAGGGAGGUUCGAUCAGCCGUAAAAAGAGGAAGGGUUCAAGAUUCAAAGCUGCAAUUAAGAUUCAAGUCCGGGUUCACAACGAAUAUGGAGCAAAUGCAUAGGAUGAUCGUGAUACACUAGGAUGGACUUGGGCCUUAGUGACGAUAAAAUGGAUCUAGACUAGUUAAAACUUGUUAUGUACUUUGUUUCCUUUUCAUUUUAAGACAAUGUAACUUGUGGGUUCUCGUUUGAAACAAUGUAUUCCACCCUUGGGUGAUGAAUAAAUUAUUAUUUA